rnacentral:tRNA from 1 species
AAAGGGAGACCUAAUUCAGGUAGGAGACGAAAAAAAGUAGUCCCUACCAAGAAUCAACCCCAAAAGGUCGGAGCGAGGCAAAAUUGGCUUUCAAACUAGGUUCUGGGUUCACAUAAGACCUGAAUCAGGAACAAGGGCUAUUAGCUCAGGUGGUUAGAGCGCACCCCUGAUAAGGGUGAGGUCCCUGGUUCGAGUCCAGGAUGGCCCACCUGCACAGGUGGCAAAAACAAAGAAAAGAAGCGAGGAAUCAGCACCUUAUCUUACUUAUAUAGUAAGAGAGAAUGCUGGCUCUGAGUACAGAGUCCAGAGGAACCUUGAAAACUGCAUAGAGCUAGGUGAAAAAGCCAAAAAAGAAGACCGCAAG